rnacentral:rRNA from 1 species
UGGGGGAUAUUGCACAAUGGGCGAAAGCCUGAUGCAGCGACGCCGCGUGGGGGAUGAAGGCUUUCGGGUUGUAAACCUCUUUCGCUAUCGAACAAGGCCCGCUUAGGGUGGGUUGAGGGUAGGUGGAGAAGAAGCGCCGGCUAACUACGUGCCAGCAGCCGCGGUAAUACGUAGGGCGCGAGCGUUGUCCGGAAUUAUUGGGCGUAAAGGGCUUGUAGGCUGCUUGUUGCGCCUGCUGUGAAAACGCGGGGCUUCACUUCGCGCGUGCAGUGGGUACGGGCAGGCUUGAGUGUGGUAGGGGUGACUGGAAUUCCAGGUGUAGCGGUGGAAUGCGCAGAUGUCUGGAGGAACACCGAUGGCGAAGACAGGUCACUGGGCCAUUACUGACGCUGAGGAGCGAAAGCAUGGGUAGCGAACAGG